rnacentral:lncRNA from 1 species
UGAGAUCUUGAUUUUCUUAAUUCUUGAAAUCGCUCAAAAUAGCAAAAUUAGACCAAGAUUCAGUUUCUUGAUUUUCUUGAAAACAAGAAAGUGAAUAUUGGUUUUCUUUUUCCUUUGUAUACGCUUCUAAGGCCUUGCUAAUGAAGUCUUGAAUGAUUCCAUUUAGUUUCAUACGCAUUUUCCUGGCCUUUGACCUUGUUAUUGGGCCUUGUGGUAAAUUGAACCCAUCACGUCCUUGAGC